CGGGUGUUGUGCAAGUGUUUUGGUGUUGUACAGGAGGAAGACCAGCCCAGCCUGUGAGGCGGUCACGGCCGCGAUGACCAGCUUCGACCACAGGGCCCAGCGGAUCUUCAGGAAGCCGGCGGCGAAAGACAUGAUGGCGCCUGGGAACAGGAUUUGGUUUGACUGUGUCCUGAUCUAACAAUGUGGGGAGCAGUACCAUGGGCAGAAGACACCAACACAAGCCAGCUCCAUCCUUACAGGAGGAGAGAGGAUCAAGACAAGGGCCAGCUGCAGGACCCCACACCAGACGUGGCAGGCUGAGGACCAGCAGAUGAGUCCCCACAGGGCUGCAGGGAGACUGUCAGAGGACCUCACCCAGAGCAGCAGGUCUCACCUGGCUGGGGACUCCCCGCCCUGCACAUCACAGAGCAGCCCCAGAAGGUGGAGCCCAAAGGCUCUGGGUCCUCGGCCUCUGCCCUGUUCACACAGGGACAUUAAAGGGCACUCUCAGAGCAGGCCAGGCCUCAGAAUGCUGAGUGACCUGCUGGGGCCCAGCCGCAGGGGCUGCAUCUUUGUUGAUGGUGAGAUCCUGAGGACAUCAAAGGACUACCUGCUGCCUGCCCAGCCCCUACCAGGCAGGAUGUGGAAGGGAGCCGCUCAGGUGUGCAAGGGCACCACAGCGCCACACCACCACUGGCUUGCAUGCAGGCCAGGUCUGAGCCCCGGCAAAGCAGGCCCGGUGAGGGAGGGCCAAGCCACACCCUGCAUUUAUGGACAGCUACCCCACCAAUCUGCUCUCCAAGCUGGGGCUGGCCAGAAGCCAGGUCCCUCUGGGUCUUGCUCCGGCUCCUGCUGCAGAGCUCUGCCUACCAGAUGCAGGGGCUGGGUGGACAACAGACACCCCUGCACCCCCAGAACCCUCAAAUCUGCAGCCUGCUCCACUGCUCCCAGACUCCGCCAGUGGACACGGAGGCCCUCCCCUGGGCCGUGACCUGGGCCCCCAGGAAAGCCGCUGGGGGAAGGCCACUCACAAAGGGCCCAGUGGGUACAGAUAGCAGUCAGAGGCCAGGGCUGACACAGGAUGCCCUCCUAGUGGCUAGACCCACCAUUGCUGGCUGUCGCCCAGGGCUUAGGUGAAUCCUGAUCUAGACCAGGGCAAGGCCAGGACCUGGGCAGCCAGGACCCACAGGCAGGACUGGACUAAUGAGAAUCUGGGAGCCAUGGGAGCCACUGUUCACCCCAUUGCAAAGCACUUGCAGCAGUGCUUUGUGGCUUUAUGCCCGAUCACAGGCAAGCCCCAAGACCAGCCCUGAUCCUAUGUGGAUGAAUCCUCCACAUGAAAGGACAUGCAGGAAGGUCCUAGAAGAUGCGUCCCAAGACACCACUGACAUGACCCUCCUGACAGGCCCAGCAAGGACAAGGUUACCCGGUACCAUUCAGGACCCAGAGGCCAGAGGACUUGGCCACGGGACUGUGGGGGCCUCUGGCCAUCACUCCAAAGGUGUCCACACCUGGGAAUGGCUUAACCUCCAGGAUCGACUUUUCCCUUUUGUGCAGUACUGGGAAUUAAACGCAGGGCUUUUGCACUGAGCUAUACCCCCAGCUCUUUCUUCGAUUCUGAGACAGAGUCUAGCGAAGCUGCCCAUGCUGGCCUCAAACUUGCUAUCCUCCCAGAGUGCUGGGAUUACAGACAUGUGCCACCACGCCCGGCUUGGAAUCUACUUUUAAUCUAUGUUUGUCCUGCUCGAGGGCAGGAAGGCAGGAUUUCUAACAUUUUUGUGAUAGCUGUCCCAAGUCUUUUUGUUUUGUUUUGUUUUCGGUACCAGGGAUGGAACUCAGGACCUCACAGUUGCCAGGCAGGCGAGGUGCUGCUGCGCUACAUCCCCUGCUGUCCCAUAUUAACAGAGGUUCACACACAUGCUGGGACCUGGGUGUGGGCAGCGAGCCCAGCUGGGAAUGAAAGAGGCAGGGAGGCGAGGACACGGUCACCCUGGUCACCCUGUCUUCGUGUGGUCAUGUUUCACAAAGCACGAAACCGAAGUUCAAAACAGAACACACCAGGCUCGGGCCUUGUGUCUGGGCUUAAGCUUAUUAGUAGGGUUUCAAUAAGACCCCCUGUCCUGUGGCUGAGUGAAAGGAAAAUUCCUUCACUAAUCUCUUUCCACAAAGAGCUGCUUAGUCCCUGCUGGAGGCGGGAGCCCAGCAGGCUGGACACAGUUGGCUGGGGGCUUUCUCACCCAGAGGCCAGGGUGGCCCGCCUGCAGGCACCAGCUCCUGUCCAUCCUCCCAUAUCCCAGGGCAGACACAGGGUCCCUCCACGAGAUCUAAGGCCAUUUUAAUCUGUGGGGCAUGGUGGGUACGGAGUCAUCUCAGCCCUCCAGACCCUGUGACCUCCUGCAGACACUUACCUUCCCCAGCCUCGGCCGCUCAGGGCCAAGCGUGAGAAGAGCCCCACCCCAGCAUGCCUGUCCCCCAGCACCCCGUGUCCACAUGCCUGCUCC